rnacentral:rRNA from 1 species
AUACGUAGGGGGCGAGCGUUGUCCGGAAUGAUUGGGCGUAAAGGGCGCGUAGGCGGCCUGUUAAGUCUGGAGUGGAAGUCCUGUUUUCAAGAUGGGAAUUGCUUUGGAUACUGAUGGGCUUGAGUGCAGGAGAGGUUAUCGGAAUUCCCGGUGUAGCGGUGAAAUGCGUAGAGAUCGGGAGGAACACCAGUGGCGAAGGCGGGUAACUUGACUGCAACUGACGCUGAGGCGCGAAAGGGUGGGGAGCAAACAGGAUUAGAUACCCUGGUAGUCCACACUGUAAACGAUGAAUACUAGGUGUGGGGGGACUGACCCCCUCCGUGCCGCAGUUAACACAAUAAGUAUUCCACCUGGGGAGUACGAUCGCAAGAUUGAAACUUAAAGGAAUUGACGGGG